rnacentral:rRNA from 1 species
UCCUUCGGGAUUAGUGGCGGACGGGUGAGUAACACGUGGGAACGUGCCCUUUGGUUCGGAACAACUCAGGGAAACUUGAGCUAAUACCGAAUGUGCCCUUCGGGGAAAGAUUUAUCGCCAUUGGAGCGGCCCGCGUCUGAUUAGCUAGUUGGUGGGGUAAAGGCCCACCAAGGCUACGAUCAGUAGCCGGUCUGAGAGGAUGAUCAGCCACACUGGGACUGAGACACGGCCCAG